rnacentral:rRNA from 1 species
UGGGGAAUAUUGGACAAUGGGCGCAAGCCUGAUCCAGCCAUGCCGCGUGAGUGAUGAAGGCCUUAGGGUUGUAAAGCUCUUUCGUCAGGGAAGAUAAUGACGGUACCUGAAGAAGAAGCCCCGGCUAACUUCGAGCCAGCAGCCGCGGUAAUACGAAGGGGGCUAGCGUUGCUCGGAAUCACUGGGCGUAAAGCGCACGUAGGCGGCUUUCUAAGUCAGGGGUGAAAUCCCGGGGCUCAACCCCGGAACUGCCUUUGAUACUGGAGAGCUUGAGUUCGGGAGAGGUGAGUGGAACUGCGAGUGUAGAGGUGAAAUUCGUAGAUAUUCGCAAGAACACCAGUGGCGAAGGCGGCUCACUGGCCCGAUACUGACGCUGAGGUGCGAAAGCGUGGGGAGCAAACA